UCCAGACUCCUACGGGAGGCAGCAGUGGGGAAUAUUGCACAAUGGGGGGAACCCUGAUGCAGCGACGCCGCGUGGGUGAAGGAGCACCUCGGUGCGUAAAGCCCUAUCGGCAGGGAAGAAAAGAGAACAGGUUCGCCUGGACGGUACCUGACUAAGAAGCCCCGGCUAACUACGUGCCAGCAGCCGCGGGAAUACGUAGGGGGCGAGCGUUGUCCGGAAUGACUGGGCGUAAAGGGUGUGUAGGCGGUUUAUUAAGUUAGAAGUGAAAUACCUAGGGCUUAACCCAGGUGCUGCUUCUAAAACUGAUAGACUUGAGUGCAGUAGAGGAAAGUGGAAUUCCUAGUGUAGCGGUGGAAUGCGUAGAUAUUAGGAGGAACAUCAGUGGCGAAGGCGACUUUCUGGACUGUAACUGACGCUGAGGCACGAAAGUGUGGGGAGCAAACAGGAUUAGAUACCCGAGUA
rnacentral:rRNA from 1 species